UACGUAGGGGGCAAGCGUUGUCCGGAAUUAUUGGGCGUAAAGCGCGCGCAGGCGGCUAUGUAAGUCUGGUGUAUAACCUCAGGGCUCAACCCUGGGUCGCACUGGAAACUGUGUAGCUUGAGUACAGAAGAGGAAAGCGGAAUUCCACGUGUAGCGGUGAAAUGCGUAGAGAUGUGGAGGAACACCAGUGGCGAAGGCGGCUUUCUGGUCUGUAACUGACGCUGAGGCGCGAAAGCGUGGGGAGCAAACAGG
rnacentral:rRNA from 1 species